CACUUUGUAGACCAGGAUUUGUCACCUCUGCCUACUGGAACCUGCCGCUGAAGCAGCCGGUCGCUGGUGCACAGGCAGAGUUCCUGAAAUGUUGUAAAGACUCUGCAGGGUGGACACCUGCACACAACACAAACAAGGGACCCAAUCAAGCUGCCAUUUAGUACAUUUUAUUUGUGUGUCAACUCUGAAAAUGGAGGCAGUCUUAAAGAACCUCUGCAUGGUUUUGAGGGCUUUUACCUUUGGCCAGCAGGUGGCAGAUUUUCCAACUGCAUCCUUACUGGAAAGUGCUCUGCAGGAAGAGGGAGGC